UGGAAAAUGUCUAUUCAUGUCUUCUGUCCAUUUCUCGACUGGAUUAUUUGUUUUUUGGGUGGUAAGUUCUUUAAAGAGUUUGGAUACUACACUUUAUCUGAGUCCUCAUAAAGGACUUCAUUUGCAAAUAUCUCCUCCCAUUCUCUAGGCUGCCAUUUGGUUUUAUUGGUUGUUUCCUUUGCUGGUGCAGAAGCUUUUUAUCUUGAUGAAGUCUCCCAAUAGUUCAUUUUUGCUUUUGCUUCCCUUGCCUCUGGAGACGUGUCUAGCAAGAAGCUGCUGCAGCUGAGGUCAAAGAGAUUGCUGUCUAUGUUCUCCUCUAGGAUACUGAUGGUCUCCUGUCCCACGCUUAGGUCUUUCUUCCAUUGAUAAUCCUAUCUUUAAUUUCUUUGAGACCCCUCCGGACCAGCUAGCAUUCCCACCAGCAUGUAAGAGGUCCCAUUUCUCCACAUCCUUGCCAAUGUCCAGCCAGUCUUGCCUUUUGGGUGAAAAAUUCAGGCCAUUGAGAGUACCAUGGACUGGCCAGGACUUACUCAUGCUCUCUUAUUGAUGGUUCUCUGGCUGUUCUUUUAGUUCUUCUGUUCCUUUCUUCCUUGGGUUUUUGUGGUCCUUGAAGUGUUUCACUGCUUUCUUCAAUGUGAAAGAGCAGUCGCCUCCUCAAGGGUUCACUGACUGUGUCUUGGACUGAAAUACCUGGAGGCCCUCCAAGUCGGCUGCAGUCCACCUGCUCUGCGCCCCUUGUACCCUCCUGUGGUGGAGUUCUUUGGGGGCAUGUGCGCCUCCUCUCCACGCCGCUGGCCCUGCACCAGGCAGGGUACCCACAGCCUCCUUUUGUUCUCACAAACAAAACUUGCUCAGUGGGUGGAGCUUCUGCUCUGGAAACCUGGACCUGCACCCACGCUCCAGCUGUCAAGUGUUUCCCAGGGGCUCCUGGACCCUGGCUCAGAGGGGCCACUGCGGGGUGCACGGCCAGGACUGGAGGCCUAUCACCUGAUCCCCGAGGAUGUGAGAUGCCUCCCGGACCCUGUGAGUGUGUUGCUGGGUACCUCAGCUCCCGCAAGGGCGCUUCUGUCCCAAGGCAAGUGUCAGAUCACUGUGACUGAGGUUGGGGCGGGGGUGGGGAGGGCAAAGGCAAGAGAGGUCUUACUCUACCUUGAUGCCAAAGCCACUUGUCCCCUGCACUUUGGAAUCGCCACAGUUCUUCAGGGUCUUCCCAGCAUCCCUCAUCUCUGGAGCCUCCUCACACAUGUGGCCCCGCAUCCUCAUCCUUUCCAAGGGGUUCAUGAUGAGCUUAACCUCUACAACCCCACAGGUCUCCUGCCCACCUUCUGCUGAAACCUGACUUUCUUAU